GGACUGCCCUACCCCCCAACACACACACACAUACACACACACGCACACAUAUACCUCUCUCUGCAGACCAGACCACCCCCCCCCGACACACACACAUACACACACAUCUCUCUUUCUGAAGGACACACCACCCCCCCAACACACACACACACACCUCUGUCUGCGGGCCGGGCUGCGCCCCCCCCGCCCCGGACACACACACACGCACACACACACAUACAUCUCUCUCUCUGCAGGUUGGGCCACCGCCCCAACACACACACACACACACACACACACACACACACACACACAUUUUGGGGGCUGCUUCCCCAGCAGAGGGGUCCCUCCUGAGGGCCCUCAGGCAGGAGGCGCGCUGGCUUUCAGAGCGAGUGGUAACACACAAGGAGUUCUUUGCGGCCCUGGAGGGUGCUCAGAAAACCCCCCAGAAGAGACUGAGUUGGAGAGAGCAACUCGCAUGUGUGAUCUGUUGCUGCAUGACAAGCCCCCAUAGCCCAGGGGUGUUGAACAGUCCCUUGGGAAGUGGUUCUGGCGGUCAGAAGUCCGAGAUGGGCCCACGGAGCAAAGGCAGGGCCGUGCACCUUCUGGGAGCUCCAGGAGGCUCUGAGCCCCAUCGUGUGCAGUUUCUGAGGCGCCUGCUUCACUCCCCGGCUCCCGGUCCCUCCCUGCAGCCUGAGAGCCAAGUCCACCGUCCUCCCAGCUGCCCCCUCCUCCUCCCCGAGAACCCGGGACAUGCUCCCCACUGUGAGGCCAGCUGACAGCAGCCCGAACUCCACCUGCAGUCUCAGCCCCCGUUUGCCCCGGGACCAGCCCAUGACAUCCCGACAUCCUGUCUUCCAGGUGGGCAAAGGUCAGCCUGUGUGUGGAUCGCAGGCAACUGCGACAUCCCGGCUCUGCUGCUCAGGAGCUGAUAAGUUACCUGCCACAGUCGCAGGGACGCGGCCCGGAUAGGAGGCUCGGAGUCAGGACCCCCUCCCCAGAGCCGACAGCAAGACCCGGUGUACCUCAGUCCCCGCCCCCCACCAGGUCUCUCUGGGAGUGGGGGACGUGGCCCAGGCCGAGGGUGCACACAGGUGCUGUGUGACUACCAGGCCAGACUUGGGAAACCCCACGCCUCCACUAAGGGCUGCAGGCAAGCGGCCGUCCUUUGCCCAGGUCGGGACAGUUCUGUGCCCCUGGCUGUGUGCUGUCCGUGAGCGUCAGCUCCGUGACUGCUCGCACGUGUGCAGAUGAGCAAGGCCAGGGGUCCACCCUCCCCAACCCCGGCAGCUCCCAUCUGCACACGCUGUCCUCACUUGUCACCCAUGAGACCGGGAGAGGGGCUGGGCUGGGCAGGGGCGGUCUGCAGCCUCAGCUCACCGGACUUCCCGGCGACCCUCAACCAGCAGUGCACGUACCUUCUGUAGGAUGUGAAAUAGGCCUGCAGACAUCUUUCCUGCAGAAUAUCCUGUCUAUAUUCUCCAAUCCCACUUGUCACUUUUCCUGAACACCACCAACCCGGCCAGUAGGUGUACCUGCUUCCCAAGACCCUGGGACCCGAGGUGGGUGAGGGAGAGUUGUGCCUAGGCGCCCAGUUUCCAGGGCACCCCAGGGUCACCCAGGUCUGGGCCCCAGCAGAUCCCGGCGCUCAUCCGCUCUGAGACCUCCCAGGCGAUGAGUCCCACUGGUGGACGAGGCCAGAAACCAGGCAGCGCGUGACCUGGGAUCCCAGGUCAGACGCUGGGCGUGGGUUCUGGCUCUGCUGCUCAGGUGGCUGGCAGGCCGCAGCCCCGCCCCGGGUCUCGGCUUCCCAGGCCGGCGCCGGAUGAGGGCGCCUCCCUUCCCGGGAGGGCACCCACCCCAGCUCCCUCUGCUUGCCCGUGCUUUGACACAGUGGCGGUCAUCUCAUCACUGACGCGCGGACACGUGGACUCAACACGUGGUCCCCCGUGCAGUCGCUGAGUCAGAGCACAUUUCCUGAGCUGGGACCGCGCGCCCAUCGCGGUCCUGAGAGGUUCUGAGCCACAGGGCAGGGCCUGCCUCCCGUGAAGCCGAGCUUCCAGCAGGAGAGGAACAAACUGCAACAGGAGCGUAAACCAGUAACAGCACCGCAGCAGCCGCGGGAGGCCAGCUCCACAGACAGGGCAGCUGCGCUUUCAUCAGGAGGGGAUCCAAGCGGAGGCCUUAAGAUGUGCCAGAUCCUCUCAGACACAGAUCUUAUCAGCCUUUCAGCGUCCAGCUGGUGACUCUGGAGUUUUAUUUAGUUGAUUCCCCAACACCCGCUCUAAUUCAGGAUCUAAAUCAACAGCCCUCCUGUGUGACACGUGUCCAGUUCGGGUGUGUGCUUGUCACUUUACAAUGAUGAGGAAAACCAUCACAUAAACAUUUGGCAGAGAAACAAUUUUCAAUUUGCUGUUUUCAUCGCACCUGAGCUUAGGCAAGAGAGUCUCGGUUUCCAAACCGUAGGCGUGGUCUCAGCUCAGAAGCAGCACUGCGGGCCGUGAGUUCCGUGAUUUCAGUGUUUCCCACAAAUCUUAUCACGCAGGGUUUCUUUCCUGGGGGAAUGGGAAGUCAGCUCAGCCCCUGACCCUGACCUCAGGGCUCCUGGGCUCUGCUCUGGGCUGAGGGACGGACUGUGAAGUUGGAAACUUUGAUCACAUGGACACGUCAAGGCCUGCAGACCUCUGCUUCUUUAUCAGGUAAACUGAUAUGGACUUGGAGACCGGAUCGAUCGGGUUUUGUUUUUAGUCGUAAAUAGCAGUUGAAAAGGUAGAUGCUCAGACUGAAGAAAAGAUUUUUUUUAAGAGAAAUUAAGACCAGAGUUAGGCUCUGCACAUAAAUUUAAAACACAUUUUCAGAGCCUAAGAUUUUUGCUAACAACACUCUGGCCUAGUCACACCAGAUCCCCGGUGAGACCUAGAAAACAUCCAGAGAAACCCGGAAUCACGUGGGACUUGAUCCAAAAGACUGACGGGAACCACAGUGGAAGCAUAAUGUCUAAGCCCGUGAGAAGGUUAAUGAUGAAAUAAUCAACGUUGGCCUCACGGCCGCCAGAUGAGCAACUGUCCCUGACGUGUUGGACCAGAGGAGGCCAGAGGUCAGCAGGGCCCAGACCGCGGUCCCCGGGGCCAGGACGUGGGUCCCCAGACUGGGGUCCGCAGGGCGCAGGUUCCAGGACCACAGUCCACGGGGCUGGGAUGCGGGUUCCCACGUCUCCAGAAAGCUCGAGUGGCUUUAGAUUUCCCUUUCCUCCAACAAAGCCUUCUAGGACCCCCUGUGAAAUGAGGAGGAGGCAGAGCGGCUCUGGUGACCCCGGGGCGGGGUCUCGGUCUCCUGAGGGCUGAUGGAGACGCUGGAAGAGGGGUGCAUGGCAGGGGAAGUCCAGUAGGAAAGUGGGUGCCCUGAGGCGCGGUCAGGAAGGUUCUCCCCAGGACAGAUGGAGAGAUGCUGUCUGCUCACAGAAACGUUUCUUCAGACCAGCUCCUCACCAGGCCCCAGGGAUGCCAGCAAAACUCUGCCCUCCAACAGCUUUCUUCCUGAUGAGAGAGGAAACAGAAGAAACAAGCAAAUCACACAAAGGAUGUGACCAUCACAGGGCACCGAGUGCUGGGGGGACACAGGGAGGCCAAGGGGGCCGUGGAGGGCAAGUUCAGACAGAGGGAGAGGGUCUCACGGAGAAGAUGCUCUGAAAGAGCUGGAGGGCCAGGGAAAGGGGGCGCUGCGGGGCGGGGGGAGGAACUGCAGAGCAGGGAGGGGACUGCGUAGCAGGAAGGACUGCAUGAGCUCAUUUCCUCUUCCCAGAGCUUCACUACAGCUACCCCCACCCCACCCCAGCCAGCCCCCCAGCCCCGCGCAGAGUAGGGGCUUCCCGCGAGUUUGCGAUUCUCAGAACGUGCCACCAGAGGGCAGUGUAGGUCCUGCAAGCGUUGACAGGGUCACUUCCGCCCCCUGCGCCCCCUCCUAGAUCACACGCUUUCCUUGUGGGGGGCCGUGGUGGGGGGAGGGCAGCUGUCCCAGAUGCUACCUCUGUUCCUUAUGCCCCGGCACGAGCUGCCGACCCGAGAUCUCCGCAGAGCUGGGCGUCCGUCAGCAUUGCCACGAGCUCUGGGAAGCUCAUGACGCAGAAGCUCAUGGACACACCAUAAACCACACAGGGCCAAAGAUCCUGAAAGAUGAUGCUGUGGAAAGUGCUGCACUCAAUAUGCAAUAUGCACUCAAUAUGCAAUAUGCCGGCUCCCGGCAGGCUGCAGUCCACGGGGUCGCAGAGUCGGACACGAUUGACCGUCUGAACACGACACUUCGCUGAUCCGCAUCGCUGUAUGGCAGAAACCAACAUAACACUAUAAAGCAACUUUCCUCCCAUUAAAAAAUACAUUAAAAAAAUAAAACAAGAUAUUAAAAAACUCUUGUAGGGAAUUCCCUGGUGGGCCGGUGAUUAGGACUCAGGUUUGAU
ensembl:lncRNA